AAAUUUAGAACUCUAAAAAUAGACGUCAAAUGAAACAAAUUGUAAGUAAUAACGGAAAUAAGAGAAAAUCCAUGAUGGAGGAAUCCAAUCUACCUUUGACUGUUUCAAUAAGUAAGCUAGAGGACUACUUACAGUGUUCAAUAUGCAUGAACUCCUUAUCCAGCACCACUGUGACGUCCUGUGGACACAGGUACUGCUUCACCUGUAUCAAGGAAUGGGUGGACAGGAAGCACACCUGUCCGUGCUGCAACGCCCGCCUGGAGCAGAGUUCUCUGAUCAAGGACCACCAGUUUGAUAGUCUUAUCGCAACCAUCACCUGUGAGAGAGAAAGAGAGGAGGAGAAAUACUUUGAGUCAUUGAUAAACUCGGUCAGCCAUGAGGAGACCUCGAACAUCCCACUCUCCCCAGUGGAGAAAGUUUUACAAAGUCACCUUAAAAGAAGCCUGGCAGCACAUGAAAAAUAUUUACAGAAUUUAAGAGCAGAGUUUCACAGGAAGAUGGUAACUCUGGACAGGGAACACUGCAAAGCCAUCUCUGACCUACAGAUCAAGAAUCUCUCUCAAGAGGGUAUGUUCAUGUGAAACCAAUAUCCAUAAAAGUGCCCUGUUAUUGUAAUGAGGUUCAAUUUAUUGCCAUUGAUAUUUUUUGAGAGACCAGGCCCUUGGGCCAUAAAAGUUAGAAGAGCCCACUUUUGGUCUCAGUCUCACUUUUACAAAGGGGAUGUAUAGUGGAAAAAUGAGAUCAAAAGUGAGCUCAUCUUACUUUCAUGGCCCCGAGGCCAAGAUUCAAAAAGCUAUGUGAGGAGAAUAUAUAUAAUUGAAAGAUUAUCUUUUUCUUACUGAUUGGAGGGCAAUAUACAAUUCAAAGUACAGAAUCUAUUAACGAAUCAAUUUUCAUCAAAUUUCAUUUGUUUCACUUUCAGACCUAACUCAACAAACCUCUGAUUUAAACAACACUCUUAUUGACCAAAAGAAAUCGCUGCAAGAGGAACUUGAAACAUGUACACGGCUUAUAGCAGACGCAUUCGACAAACAUCUACAGAGUCACAUUCCACCGCUAGAGGUUCUCCCGAUGAAGGUCUCCAUUAAUGUCUUAGACAAGAGCAUCCACCUCUCCGAUCUCCUCCUAGCUCCCGCUGAUGUGGCGGUGACCAGGAUAAAGCUUGCAGUGGAGGAAGCAAUGAAGGCCAAAGGGAACCCAGUGGUGUCCUGGGGGGAUGACAUCCACUUCAUCCUGUUUGGUCCAUUUGCCAAGAGUAAUCCAUUUGAGAAGCAGCAGAUGAUAAGGGAGAUUCUGUACAAUGGUCUGGAGUAUCCGGAUGUCCAUGUACUGUCUCCGGACUGUCGACCCGUUCUACAGCUGGGGAUGAAACCAAACAGUGAGAUUGUUAUUCACGGAAGUCUUCGCUGUGAGAGUGACCUGCCCAAGCGGUGCUUUGUUCAGACUUUUAAAAAGGACAAGAAAGAGACCGUGGACUACUUUUACUGUAAACAGUGCUCUUUCAAGUGGAUAUGUAGACCAUGCAUGGAUGUUUGUCACAAAGGGCAUGAUGUCGUGCCUUACAUAAUGAACCAUGUACCAGAAUGGUAAGUCUGUCUGUUUGUCAGAGGCGUGUUCAACAGAGCAAGUACUCGCGAGUGCUCGCCAAGAUUUGUGUUGCAGGUAUAAGGAAUUUAGGAUGUUUGAUAGGAAAAUUAAUAUAUUAUAAAGAGAGGGCAAAAAAAACCCAGUUUCCUAAAGGUGGUCUUCACCCAAUAUUCUCUGCAUAAAACAUUGUACAUGUAUAAUGUUAUAUCUUGUGCUUCAGAUAUUUAACGAAUAUUUCAAUACUUGAUUUAGUUUAAUUUAUUGUUUAUCAUUUACGUUAAAAGUGAUUUGUUUUUCCCAGGGCUUGCUGUUAUUGUCCUAGGAAGAAGAAAUGUGUCCUUUAGGACUAGGAACCCCAAACACUAUCAGAAAUCCAUUUACAAACAUCUCUUUUACAAAGAGACAUUAUUUAUCGUUACUACUGUUGGAGCUAUGACAGCUGAUCCAUUGUUUUUAUACUGUGAUAUUUUUGUGAAUGACUCGGUGAUUUAUUAAAUGAGACUCACCUAAA
rnacentral:misc_RNA from 1 species